rnacentral:rRNA from 1 species
GGGGUGUUAGGGCACGACACCGGAGAGGGAGCCUGAGAAACGACUACCACAUCCAAGGAUGGCAGCAGGCGCGCAAAUUACCCAAUCCCGACACGGGGAGGUAGUGACAAUAAAUAACAAUACGGGGUUCUUUCGGAUUUCGUAAUUGGAAUGAGUACAAUUUAAAUCUCUUAACGAGGAACAAUUGGAGGGCAAGUCUGGUGCCAGCAGCCGCGGUAAUUCCAGCUCCAAUAGCGUAUAUUAAAGUUGCUGCAGUUAAAAAGCUCGUAGUUGAAUUUCGGGACCAAUAUGUCGGUCGUGCCUCGGUACGUACUGGCAUCGUUGGUUUCUCCCUUCUGACGAACCAUGAUGUCAUUUAUUUGGUGUCGUGGGGAAUCAGGACUGUUACUUUGAAAAAAUUAGAGUGCUUAAAGCAGGCAUACGCUUGAAUACAUUAGCAUGGAAUAAUGAAAUAGGACGUUUGAUUCUAUUUUGUUGGUUUCUAGGAUCGACGUAAUGAUUAAUAGGGAUAGUUGGGGGCAUUAGUAUUCAAUUGUCAGAGGUGAAAUUCUUGGAUUUAUUGAAGACUAACUACUGCGAAAGCAUUUGCCAAGGAUGUUUUCAUUAAUCAAGAACGAAAGUUAGGGGAUCGAAGACGAUCAGAUACCGUCGUAGUCUUAACCAUAAACUAUGCCGACUAGGGAUCGGAUGAUGUUAAUUUUUUUAAUGACUCAUUCGGCGCCUUACGGGAAACC